UACGUAGGGUGCGAGCGUUAAUCGGAAUUACUGGGCGUAAAGCGUGCGCAGGCGGUUCGUUAAGUUCGUUGUGAAAGCCCCGGGCUCAACCUGGGAACUGCAAUGGAAACUGGCGGGCUUGAAUGCGGCAGAGGGGGGUGGAAUUCCGCGUGUAGCAGUGAAAUGCGUAGAGAUGUGGAGGAACACCAGUGGCGAAGGCGGCUCUUUGGUCUGUAACUGACGCUGAGGCGCGAAAGCGUGGGGAGCAAACAGG
rnacentral:rRNA from 1 species